UACGAAGGGGGCUAGCGUUGUUCGGAAUUACUGGGCGUAAAGCGCACGUAGGCGGACAUUUAAGUCAGGGGUGAAAUCCCAGAGCUCAACUCUGGAACUGCCUUUGAUACUGGGUGUCUUGAGUAUGGAAGAGGUGAGUGGAAUUCCGAGUGUAGAGGUGAAAUUCGUAGAUAUUCGGAGGAACACCAGUGGCGAAGGCGGCUCACUGGUCCAUUACUGACGCUGAGGUGCGAAAGCGUAGGGAGCAAACAGG
rnacentral:rRNA from 1 species